GGAGAAGUAGCUCAGUGGUUAGAGCACAGCUCUCGUAGAGGACCUGGGUUCAAUUCCCAGCGUCUGCA
rnacentral:tRNA from 1 species